rnacentral:rRNA from 1 species
AUUGAACGCUGGCGGCAUGCUUUACACAUGCAAGUCGAACGGCAGCGCGGGCUUCGGCCUGGCGGCGAGUGGCGAACGGGUGAGUAAUACAUCGGAACGUGCCCAGUAGUGGGGGAUAGCUCGGCGAAAGCCGGAUUAAUACCGCAUACGACCUGAGGGUGAAAGCGGGGGAUCUUCGGACCUCGCGCUAUUGGAGCGGCCGAUGGCAGAUUAGCUAGUUGGUGGGGUAAAGGCCUACCAAGGCGACGAUUUGUAGCUGGUCUGAGAGGACGACCAGCCAUACUGGGACUGAGACACGGCCCAGACUCCUACGGGAGGCAGCAGUGGGGAAUUUUGGACAAUGGGCGAAAGCCUGAUCCAGCAAUGCCGCGUGUGUGAUGAAGGCCUUCGGGUUGUAAAGCACUUUUGGCGGGAACGAAAAGGACUGUGCCAAUACCACGGUUCGAUGACGGUACCCGCAGAAUAAGCACCGGCUAACUACGUG